rnacentral:rRNA from 1 species
UUCCGGUUGAUCCUGCCAGACCUGACUGCUAUCGGAUUGGUACUAAGCCAUGCGAGUCAUUGUAGCAAUACAAGGCGGACGGCUCAGUAACACGUAGUCAACCUAACUCGUGGACGUGGAUAACCUCGGGAAACUGAGAAUAACCACGAUAGAUCAUAGUGCCUGGAAUGGCCUCUGGUCCAAACAGUUUACUGCCAUGGGAUGGGACUGCGGCCUAUCAGCUUGUUGGGUGAGUAAU